rnacentral:rRNA from 1 species
GGAUCGGUAUGUUGGUCGUGCUUCGGUACGUACUGUCAUUACCGGUUUCUACCUUCUGAAGAACCGCGAUGUCAUUAAUUUGGUGUCGUGGGGAAUCAGGACUGUUACUUUGAAAAAAUUAGAGUGUUCAAAGCAGGCUGUUUACAGCUUGAAUAUCUUAGCAUGGAAUAAUAGAAUAGG